CCUACGGGUGGCAGCAGUGAGGAAUAUUGGUCAAUGGCCGGAAGGCUGAACCAGCCAUGCCGCGUGAAGGACAGGGACCUAUGGGCGUUAAACUUCUUUUGUGCGGGAGCAAUAAUGGUCACGUGUGGCCAGACGAGAGUACCGUACGAAUAAGCAUCGGCUAACUCCGUGCCAGCAGCCGCGGUAAUACGGGGGAUGCAAGCGUUAUCCGGAUUUAUUGGGUUUAAAGGGUGCGUAGGCAGUGAGGUAAGUCAGCGGGGAAAUGCCCCCGCUCAACGGGGUGAAGUGCCAUUGAUACUGCCUUGCUGGAAUGCGGGUGCCGUUGGAGGAAUGUGUGGUGUAGCGGUGAAAUGCAUAGAUAUCACACAGAACACCGAUUGCGAAGGCAUCUCACGAAUCCGCGAUUGACGCUGAUGCACGAAAGCGUGGGUAUCAAACAGGAUUAGAUACCCUAGUAGUC
rnacentral:rRNA from 1 species